ACAGCUUGGAGACCCCAGAACCACCAAGUAAACGAUCACUUGGAUCUGUUUAGCCCAGCACUCUUGCUCUGGCCGGGAUCUGCUGGGCACUUGGGGAAGAGGCAUGCCAUGCUCUGCCAUAUUCAGAAACAGCCAGGUUUCUCCUGGAGCCCAGCCUGAUGGAUGAGUUCAACCUCUUUGCUUGGCGUUCCUCUGCCCCAGGAAUUCCUGCUCUGCUGAGACACUGUCACCACCACAAUCCUCGCCCCAAGCCCCAAACCGUCCUGUCGUGCCUCACUGCCUGCAACUGUGGGAACGGGCUCUUUAUAUGCGCAAUAUCAUCUUCAAAGUGCUUUUGAUUUAUUAAUUGGCCACGGUUCACAUUAGGUUGACUACAGAUCCCACACAUGCCAACGGAGGAGGGCUGAUGUCACUGGUCUUGGGAACAGCUUGCUGGUACCUCACUGUGGAGAGAGGCCCUGGCUCUGAGUGCUAGCUGAUCCUGGGAGAGGGUCUCAGCUUCACCACUCUCAUGCAUCUCUGGGGGCUUAAGUUUGUUUGGUCUGUGAAAUGGGGGUGAUAAUAGGGUUGCCAAGAGGACUCAACAGAGGUAGUGGCUGGUGUGGGGUGGCUGCUCCAUAAAUGUUGGUUCCCUUCACACUCAGAAGUCACUUCCUCCACUGGGUAUUCCUCAUCAUCUUUCCUCAAGCUUCCAGAACAUUCCAUCUGUUCCUCUUUUAACUGUGAUCAGUUCUCUGCCUUGUAUUAGGGUGACUUGUGCCCCUGCUGUGGCUGCUAACUCAUCGGGCAUGGGGCUUAUGUGUAAGGCAUCAUUAUACCUCUCUCAGUAGGAAACCCGGGGCCCGGUGUGAAAUUCAGUAAAUGCGUGCAUGCCCAAGAGGCAGCACCAGUGCUGUACAAGAGCAAGGGCCCUAGAGCCCCACUCUGUGGGCGCAGCCCCAGUCCAUCAUUAAUUAGCUAUGGGAUCCUAGGCGAGCUACUUACCUCUUCAUGCCUGGAAGUACCGAUCUGUAAAACAGGAAUGAUUAGUAACAGCGCCUACAUCAUAAGGUUGUUGCAAAGAUUAAAUAAGUUAAUGUGCAUAGAACAGUAGCUGCCACAUGGUAAGAGCUUUAUAGCUGUUGGCUAUUAUUAUAUCAGCAUUCAGCAAAGGACCUUUCUCCCGGUGUGGCCUCCAUAAAUGUUGAGCUGAGCUGAAAGACUAUAUUCCCUACCCUGUCCUCACGAAUGCACACACUUGGCAGGUUUUCUGUAAUUCUACCGUUCCUGAUUUGUUCUUUGGAGUUAAGGUAUUCUAUUUCAUUAAAAUACAAUGUUGAUGUCAAA